rnacentral:rRNA from 1 species
UGGGGAAUAUUGCACAAUGGGCGAAAGCCUGAUGCAGCAACGCCGCGUGAGGGACGACGGCCUUCGGGUUGUAAACCUCUUUUAGCAAGGAAGAAGCGAAAGUGACGGUACUUGCAGAAAAAGCGCCGGCUAACUACGUGCCAGCAGCCGCGGUAAUACGUAGGGCGCAAGCGUUAUCCGGAAUUAUUGGGCGUAAAGAGCUCGUAGGCGGUUUGUCGCGUCUGCUGUGAAAACCCGAGGCUCAACCUCGGGCCUGCAGUGGGUACGGGCAGACUAGAGUGCGGUAGGGGAGAUUGGAACUCCUGGUGUAGCGGUGGAAUGCGCAGAUAUCAGGAAGAACACCGAUGGCGAAGGCAGAUCUCUGGGCCGUAACUGACGCUGAGGAGCGAAAGGGUGGGG